ACUCCUACGGGAGGCAGCAGUGGGGAAUAUUGCACAAUGGGGGAAACCCUGAUGCAGCCAUGCCGCGUGUGUGAAGAAGGCCUUCGGGUUGUAAAGCACUUUCAGUAGGGAGGAAGGUAGUGUAGUUAACACCUGCACCUAUUUGACGUUACCUACAGAAGAAGCACCGGCUAACUCCGUGCCAGCAGCCCGGCGGUUAAUACGGAGGGUGCGAGCGUUAAAUCGGAAUUACUGGGCGUAAAGCGCAUGCAGGCGGCCUGUUAAGUCAGAUGUGAAAGCCCGGGGCUUAACCUCGGAAUUGCAUUUGAAACUGGCAGGCUAGAGUCUUGUAGAGGGGGGUAGAAUUUCAGGUGUAGCGGUGAAAUGCGUAGAGAUCUGAAGGAA
rnacentral:rRNA from 1 species